rnacentral:rRNA from 1 species
CCUACGGGAGGCAGCAGUGAGGAAUAUUGGUCAAUGGGCGCUAGCCUGAACCAGCCAAGUAGCGUGAAGGAUGACUGCCCUAUGGGUUGUAAACUUCUUUUAUAUGGGAAUAAAGUGCAGUACGUAUACUGCUUUGCAUGUACCUUAUGAAUAAGGAUCGGCUAACUCCGUGCCAGCAGCCGCGGUAAUACGGAGGAUCCGAGCGUUAUCCGGAUUUAUUGGGUUUAAAGGGAGCGUAGGCGGGUUGUUAAGUCAGUUGUGAAAGUUUGCGGCUCAACCGUAAAAUUGCAGUUGAUACUGGCAGCCUUGAGUACAGUAGAGGUAGGCGGAAUGCGUGGUGUAGCGGUGAAAUGCUUAGAUAUCACGAAGAACUCCGAUUGCGAAGGCAGCCUGCUGGACUGUAACUGACGCUGAUGCUCGAAAGUGUGGGUAUCAAACAGGAUUAGAUACCCUUGUAGUC